AAAUACCCCAGAUUGAAACGGAAAGCAUUUUUUAUGAAUUUAUAUUUUUUGUGGCGAUAAAAAAGCGACUGAAAGAAGCUCUUUUUAUGCCCUGCAAAAAAAUAAAUUCAGGAAAAAUCCUGGAGUGUAAAGCUGGAUUAGGU
rnacentral:sRNA from 1 species